rnacentral:rRNA from 1 species
AUUGAACGCUGGCGGCAUGCCUUACACAUGCAAGUCGAACGGCAGCCCGGGAGCAAUCCUGGUGGCGAGUGGCGAACGGGUGAGUAAAGUAUCGGAACGUGCCCAGUCGUGGGGGAUAACGUAGCGAAAGUUACGCUAAUACCGCAUACGAUCUAUGGAUGAAAGCGGGGGAUCGCAAGACCUCGCGCGAUUGGAGCGGCCGAUAUCAGAUUAGGUAGUUGGUGGGGUAAAGGCUCACCAAGCCGACGAUCUGUAGCUGGUCUGAGAGGACGACCGGCCACACUGGGACUGAGACACGGCCCGGACUCCUACGGGAGGCAGCAGUGGGGAAUUUUGGAAAAUGGGCGAAAGCCUGAUCCAGCCAUGCCGCGUGCAGGAUGAAGGCCUUCGGGUUGUAAACUGCUUUUGUACGGAACGAAAAGGUUUGGCCUAAUAAGCUGAGCUCAUGACGGUACCGUAAGAAUAAGCACCGGCUAACUACGUGCCAGCAGCCGCCGUAA